rnacentral:rRNA from 1 species
AUUGAACGCUGGCGGCAUGCCUUACACAUGCAAGUCGAACGGUAACGGGCCUUGAGGUUCCGACUAGUGGCGGACGGUGGCGGACUACUUCGGAACGUGCCCGAAUGUGCGUUUUAGCGGGGCAUAAGCUUUGGUAAUAUAGCAUACUACCUACUGCGGAAUACGGGUGACAGCAAGGCAUCUUGCGGCCGUACGCGCCUGUGUGAGACGAUGUCGGAUUAGCUAGUUGGGGGGGUAAAGGCCUACCAAGGCGACGAUCUGUAGCUGGUCUGAGAGGAUGAUCAGCCACACUGGGACUGAGACACGGCCCAGACUCCUACGGGAGGCAGCAGUGGGGAAUAUUGGACAAUGGGCGCAAGCCUGAUCCAGCCAUGCCGCGUGCAGGAUGAAGGCCUUCGGGUUGUAAACUGCCUUUGUACGGAACGAAAAGCCUUCUUUUAAUACAGGAGGGUCAUGACGGUACCGAAAGAAUAAGCACCGGCUAACUACGUG